GAUGAACGCUGGCGGCGUGCCUAAUACAUGCAAGUCGAGCGAACAGACGAGGAGCUUGCUCCUCUGACGUUAGCGGCGGACGGGUGAGUAACACGUGGAUAACCUACCUAUAAGACUGGGAUAACUUCGGGAAACCGGAGCUAAUACCGGAUAAUAUAUUGAACCGCAUGGUUCAAUAGUGAAAGACGGUUUUGCUGUCACUUAUAGAUGGAUCCGCGCCGCAUUAGCUAGUUGGUAAGGCAACGGCUUACCAAGGCAACGAUGCGUAGCCGACCUGAGAGGGUGAUCGGCCACACUGGAACUGAGACACGGUCCAGACUCCUACGGGAGGCAGCAGUAGGGAAUCUUCCGCAAUGGGCGAAAGCUUGACGGAGCAACGCCGCGUGAGUGAUGAAGGUCUUCGGAUCGUAAAACUCUGUUAUUAGGGAAGAACAAAUGUGUAAGUAACUAUGCACGUCUUGACGGUACCUAAUCAGAAAGCCACGGCUAACUACGU
rnacentral:rRNA from 1 species